CCCUUAGAUGUUCUGGGCCGCACGCGCGCUACACUGAUGCAUUCAGCGAGCCUAUCCUUGACCGACAGGUCCGGGUAAUCUUUGAAUCUGCAUCGUGACGGGGAUAGAUUAUUGCAAUUAUUAAUCUUCAACGAGGAAUGCCUAGUAGGCGCAAGUCAUCAGCUUGCGUCGAUUACGUCCCUGCCCUUUGUACACACCGCCCGUCGCUCCUACCGAUUGGGUGUGCUGGUGAAAUGUUCGGAUCGGCCGUUUGUCGCGGUUUCCGCGUCAUGUGGCUGAGAAGUUCAUUAAACCCUCCCACCUAGAGGAAGGAGAAGUCGUAACA
rnacentral:rRNA from 1 species